GGUCUCCUCUGUCUUUAGGCGAGCGUGCUCAAAAUCCCCCUCGACCCCGGCUGCAUCAGGCGACUCCGCGACCCCACCGCCGGCCUCCGCCCUCCCCGCACCGGCGACCUCCCCCUCCUCUCCCUUCCCUUCCCUUCCCCCAUAUCGAGAAGGGAGGCCAUGGUGCUCCCAACAUGGCUGUAUCUAGACCAAGCCCGUGGGGUUCCAGCUCGACCUCCUCGCAGCGACCACGGCGGCAGGAUCCGCGGAUCCAUGGCCACGGCGGUGCGAGCGCGCAGACGCAGCCUUCAGAAGAGAGGAGGCAUGUCGGCCAUGGCGUUCCCGCCGCAGCCGGGUCACUGGCUCCACCACGAGCUCCUCGCAGUUGUCAGUGACGACGGCGGCUCCGAACCCUAGCGGACGCUCCUGCUCGUCUUCCUCCACACCUCUGCUCGUGCCCGUCUUCCUCGGCGCCAUAUUCAGCACCUACAAGAACGCAGCUUCCUCUCCCGCGACAGGGGAUGGAGGGACGUGGGUCAGGCAUCUGAACUUGUCAAAUCUUGGUCUGAAGGGAAUGUUAUCUCCUGAGGUUGGACAGCUUACUAAUAUGCAUUUUCUAUAAGCAUAUUCUAUAGUUCCUCUGGUGACGUUUGUUUCUGAACACUUUGGUUUUGACAUAACAUGUUUCAUGCUUUCAACCAUAAGAUAGUAUUUGGUAUUUCUGAAACUACCAACUGAAUAAGAGUCAUUUUGCACUUCGAUAUAGGCUAUCAUGUUGAGCACAGUAGUAAAGCUGAAACUUCGUAGUGUGUAUGUUUUCCUGAUGAGGCUUAUGACCUCAGCUUUUGAGCUGUCAAUUAAGGCACAUCAAUCAACUUGGUGUAUGUUCUUUCUUGGAGUGUAGUUGGAUACAAGACAGGUGUUUCUUCUUGGAUCUACGGGACUUUUGAGAAUACAAUUUUGCAUGGAUCAAAUUCAAAUACCACCCAGUGCUUUAUGUAGUUUUCCUAUUGUUAAUACCAUAGUAAAUCUAUCUGUUGAAUUAUGUAUGCCCAUUCAGGCACUCACCAAGAAAGCAUCUUAUGUCUACAGAUAUUAUUUUUUGUAUCUUAUGUACUUGUGAAAUGAUGUUCGCCCUUCAAAAUUUUCUGAUCUAUUUUCCUUCCAUCCAUAGUGUACUGCACAGGAACUUGUUCUAUGGUAUUAUCCUUAGAGAGAUGGGAGAUUUACGAGAGCUGAAGGUGUUGGAUCUGGGGUACAAUAACUUCAAUGGACCAAUUCCAUCAGAGCUAAUAAACAUUUUAUCCCUGGAAUUUAUGUGCGUGCGAACUUUGAUACUCCCUCCGUUCGUUUUUAUAAGGCGUUUCAGACAGCUGAGUUUGAACUGUUUAGUACACUGUCUGAAUUUACUAAAACGUCUUAUAUAAGUGAACAGAGGGAGUAUAUGUUUCUUUUUCAUUUCUGUUUAACUUCAAAACUUGACUGACCUUACUAUUUGAAUUGCAGCUUUCUUAAAAGAAACAGACUUUAUGGUGAUUUACCUCUUGAACUAAAUGAGCUCAUCAGUCUGUGUGAGUCUCAGGUUCGCCACGGCAGGACUUUCUCAAAUAGGAUGCCCGCUGCAAGGUUUGUCUAAGUUUUCUUCUACUUGCAUAUCUGAGAGUUAAACUCGUGAUUAUGCAAGGCUUGAGUUAAAUUUUCAAAUCAAAUAGGGAUUUGAGCAAGCUUGAUUUUGGUUAAAAAAUCCCACCCUGUUCCUGCAAUCACAUGUAUGUUAAUGAUAUCUGAAAUAUUUGAGAAUUAUCUGUUUCGACUCAAGAAAUAUCAGACUUCUUUUAGGAACAUUUCCUCCACAAAAUGGUAAAUUAUAUCCGAGUCGGCAUCCCUGAAACCCAGCCCAAAUCCACAUAUAACCUCACUCCGGACGAACCCUAGACCCAAAUCUCUUGACAAUGCCAUGUUGAAAGAUAGGCUUGCUAAGAUUCGGCUCAAGAAUUCCUGAGGGUACUUCUGUCUUUAUCAUAUUUGUUCUCACACCUUGGGCGUUGUGUUUUCCCGCCGCAGCGCACGCGUCGACCCGCAGUCCUCAUGUUAAGUGAACCAGAAGCGGUACAUGCGAGAGAAAAGAAAAACACACCCAACCACCUGCACGACCCUUCCUCUCGAUCCCAUCUGGACCUUUAGUAUUCUCGGGAUAUAUCUGAUUAUGAUGAUGUUCCGUACUGCUCUGGAGCCGACAACUUUUUGGACUGCUCGAUGUUUAUAACCAAUGAGACUACUUUUUUGGUUGUUGGCUGGAGGCUGGAGCUAUCACUGUGACUGAAAUUUUCUUUUCACCAAAGUAAUAUUAUAUGGUCAUCAAAAACCAAUGACAGGUCAACACUUGUCAGCAGUUUGCAAUUUGUAUUACAGUAUGCGUAAGCCAAUGGUCAGACAUUGUUGUUUUAGUUAGGAAAUGUAGAAAACGUGUUCAUGAUUUAUGUAGAUUGGAUAGUCCCUUCAAACUGCAGUAUUCGAUCUUGAGCGGACAAUCUAACUAUAUGUUUCCUUAUAGAAAAUUGACUGUAUGUUCCAUGAAUUGACUGAUUAGUUUGGCACGAUCAGAUUAAACUAGGUCUUGAUUUGAAGGUCCAGUUAGGGCAGCUGGUGCUGGUUUGUUUAUUGUAAUACUAACUAUGCCAUUUAGACAGAGACAUGUGGUCUUUCUCAUUCCUCGACAUUUCCUUUGCUACCAAGAUUUUUCAUUCUAGGUUGUGGAAAAACGGAUGUAGCAUUCCUUCUACAAGUUGUCAUGAGCUGGGACAUAGAAGAAGAGAGCCGACAUAGAAGAAGAGAGCCGACGAGAAGUUGCACAGCGGUUCGCUCCGGUGUCGCUGCCAAUGGCGUUGCGCAAAGUGCAGAUUGCAGGCUAGAUGCGUACGAGUCCAUCCCUACGUCCAUGAUGUUGAAGCAUAGGAAAUCAAGUCAAUUAGAUAGUAUAUCUGGUUCUGAAAGUUGUCUUUUGUGUAGUAUAUCUGGUUAUGAAAGUUGUCUUUUGUGUAUGCAGUUUUGCCAUUAUUUUGUAAAAGCUUUGAGUUUUUGAUAAUAUAAUUGUCUUACUAAUAACACUUUUAAUCAAUUCA